UUGAAUUAUGUACUUGUGACUUUCUUGUAAUAAAGACAAAUUGUUUGAAUUAUGUAAUUGUGACUUUUUUGUAAUAAAGACGAAUAAAGAUAAAUAAUCUUAUAGUAUAUAAUUCUUUGUACAUGAUAGGAAUUUUUUAAUUUUUUUUUAGAGUUAUAGAUGUGAUUGGCGAAGGAGAGACCUAAAUUGCAUGGUUGCCUUUGCAUGUUAUAGUUGUGAAUGACCAAACGGAGCCCAAAUGUUUUUAAACUUUCAUUGUUGGAAAGAUACAUGUUUUACUCAAAUUUUUGUUUUGGAUUCACUUUAAAAUGCCUUAUGAAUUGAAAGUUAUUCUUGUGCUAAGUAGGAUAUGUCAUUGCCUCAAUUGCACAACAGAUUUCUGUUGGAAUAUUUCCAUUCUGAUGAGCUUUUGAAUGCUCAAAAGAGGUCCAAACGCUUCUCAACCACCUCCAUUUGAUAGAUAUGUGCGUCUAGUAUAAAAUUGGUUUUAGAACCGUCCCCGAAUUCCCAAUGGAUUAAAAGUGAUGACCAUGUUUAUGAUCGCACUUAGUUUAUGAUCUGACGUUACUGUUUGAAAUUGUAGGAAAUGUGAAUUGUGAUAUUGAAAUGUGGUAUUGUGAUACUGAAAAUGCGAUAUUGUGAAAUUGAUACUGUCAUACUGUGAUACUGAUAUUGUGAUAUUGCUAAUGUCUUAUUGUGAUACUGAUAUUGUCAUACUGUCAUACUGUUAUUGUCAUAUUGUGAUAUUGUUACUGUCAUAUUGUGAUAUUGUUACUGUUACUGUCAUAUUGUGAUACUGUUACUGUCAAUUGUGAUACUGCUAUUGCCAUACUGCUACUAUCAUAUUGAGAUACUGAUAUUGUCAUAAUGUGACACUGAUACUGUGAUAUUGUAAUGCUGAUAUUGUGAUACUGGAAAUGUGAUAAAGUGAUAUUGGGAUACUAAUGUGAUACUGACCACUACGCAAUGCGGCACUCCUUGGUAGUGGGUACGGUUAUACUGUUUUACACUGUUAUACUGAUAUUGUGAUAUUGGAAUUGCGAUAAUGUGAUACUGGGAUACUGAUGUGAUACUGACCACUACGCAAUGAGGCACCAAUUGGUAAUGGGUAUUGUUAUAUUGUUUUACACUAUGUUACUGAUACUGUAAGCCAUACUGAUGCUGACGACUACACAAUGGGCCACCCAUUGGUAGUGGGUACUGUGAAAUUGCUUUAUAUUGUGUUACUGUGAUACUAACCACUACGUAAUGGGACAACCAUUGGUAGUAAGUAAUGUGAUAUUCUUUAUAUUGGGAGAUGCUGUGCCUUUGACCACCAUACAAUGGGUCACAUGUUGGUGGUUGGAUACUGCUCUAUCGGCUAUUGAUUUGACUGUACCUCGACCCUAAUGAUAGGAAUGAGGUCGGGAAGUGAAACUAGAUAAUAGGGUAGGUCACUCCCUUUCCCAAUUAUUAUGGGCACUACGCAUUGGGAUACCCAAUGGUAGUGUAAUGCCUUCUCACUAGAAGGGCAUAAGGAGUAGGUCGUGUCUUGCAAGGUUACUGCUAAAGAAUACCCCAAAGCGUGUAGGGGAUGUGUGUGAGGGCAUUACGAAGUGAGACAUUCACUUGUCAUUGUCUUUCCUCUCGAAUGAGGGUAGAUGUUUCAAGCUACAAGAUUGGCUUGACCUAAUCGGUGGAACUUCUAUUUCAAGAGUAGGUUUCAUUAUCUUUUAUUAUGUAAAACUGUGAUAUGUCAGCUUUACUGUUCUGUUUAAGAUGAAAUGAUGUAUAACUUAUGCACUGUAUGUUCUUGAUAAUUGAACUGCAUUUAUUUUUAUAUUAUUAAAGUAUUGAAGGCAUAAUAGAGGAAGCUUUUUUUGAUAUCUUUGUAAAUUAGUGAGCACUGUUAUCUGCUAUCACCGGUUAUAAAGUUGGAAUGCAUUGGUGUAGAUUUGUUUACUGGGUUGUUAGCUCAUUCCAUUUCCUUCUCAUGAUUGUAGAGUGAUACCUGAAAAUCGAGCAGCUGAUCUGUGUGUUGGGCGGGUGAAGCUUGAAGUUCGGUGGAGUUGCUCUAAGAAGCUUUUCAUAAUAUGUAUUUGGUGGCUACGCCACUAUGAUGUUUCUGUAUUUUUGUGGGCUAGUAGUGCUUUGAAUCGAUUGUAAAGAAUUUUGGUGAAUGGAUGUAUAAAUGGAUAUGACUUUGUUUUGAAUUAAGAACAUUCUUGAUGAAUGGAUUUUAGUUUUAUUUUGUGGUUUGCUCUU
rnacentral:lncRNA from 1 species